UCUAAAGUAAUUAAUUAAAGUCUAUUAGAAAAAAUUAUGUUAGCUUUUUGCGCAUGCGCGUUAUGUUCCGUUGCCUCGGCGCCAAAGCCCAAAGGAAGCUUUACAGAAUCCAGUCAGAUAGAAGCAAGACGCCAGAGCCGGAUUUCUGUACAUCCAUUUGCACAGUACUGUACAAGUUUCCUUUGCUGAGUUCCUUGGUCAGGGGUUAAACACAUUUUCUGUCCAGUACUGCAGUUGGAAUUUUCCACACAACAUUUUUAUGGUGGCGCAGUGGGAAGCCCUCUCACCUCACAGCA